GAUGAACGCUGGCGGCGCGCCUAACACAUGCAAGUCGAACGAUUAAAGCCCCUUCGGGUGUGUAUAAAGUGGCGAACGGCUGAGUAACACGUGGGCAACCUGCCCCUUUCAUUGGGAUAGCCACGGGAAACCGUGGAUAAUACCGAAUACUUCGAGACUUCCGCAUGGAAGACUCGAGAAAGCUCCGGCGGAGAGGGAUGGGCCCGCGGCCUGUUAGCUUGUUGGUGGGGUAACGGCCUACCAAGGCAAUGAUGGGUAGCUGGGUUGAGAGGCCGACCAGCCAGAUUGGGACUGAGACACGGCCCAGACUCCUACGGGAGGCAGCAGUGGGGAAUCUUGCACAAUGGGCGGAAGCCUGAUGCAGCGACGCCGCGUGCGGGAUGAAGGCCUUCGGGUUGUAAACCGCUUUCAGCAGGGACGAGGCGAAAGUGACGGUACCUGCAGAAGAAGCCCCGGCUAACUACGUG
rnacentral:rRNA from 1 species